rnacentral:rRNA from 1 species
GAUGAACGCUGGCGGCGUGCCUAAUACAUGCAAGUCGAGCGAACGGACGAGAAGCUUGCUUCUCUGAUGUUACCGGCGGACGGGUGAGUAACACGUGGAUAACCUACCUAUAAGACUGGGAUAACUUCGGGAAACCGUAGCUAAUACCGGAUAAUAUUUUGAACCGCAUGGUUCAAAAGUGAAAGACGGUCUUGCUGUCACUUAUAGAUGGAUCCGCGCUGCAUUAGCUAGUUGGUAAGGUAACGGCUUACCAAGGCAACGAUGCAUAGCCGACCUGAGAGGGUGAUCGGCCACACUGGAACUGAGACACGGUCCAGACUCCUACGGGAGGCAGCAGUAGGGAAUCUUCCGCAAUGGGCGAAAGCCUGACGGAGCAACGCCGCGUGAGUGAUGAAGGUCUUCGGAUCGUAAAACUCUGUUAUUAGGGAAGAACAUAUGUGUAAGUAACUGUGCACAUCUUGACGGUACCUAAUCAGAAAGCCACGGCUAACUACGUG